rnacentral:rRNA from 1 species
GAUAGAUCAUAGUGCCUGGAAUGGCUUAUGGUCCAAACAGUCUACUGCCAUGGGAUGGGACUGCGGCCUAUCAGCUUGUUGGUGAGGUAAUGGCCCACCAAGGCGAUUACAGGUACGGGCUCUGAGAGGAGAAGCCCGGAGAUGGGUACUGAGACACGGACCCAGGCCCUAUGGGGCGCAGCAGGCGAGAAACCUUAGCAAUGUGCGAAAGCACGACUGGGUCAGUCCGAGUGAUUCCUGAUAAAGGAGUCUUUUGCCUGUCCUAAAAGCUCUUUUUGAAUAAGGGGUGGGCAAGUCUGGUGUCAGCCGCCGCGGUAAUACCAGCACCUCGAGUGGUCAGGACGUUUAUUGGGCCUAAAGCAUCCGUAGCCGGCUCUGCAAGUCUUCGGUUAAAUCCACCUGCUCAACAGAUGGGCCGCUGGAGAUACUACAGAGCUAGGGAGUGGGAGAGGCAGACGGUAUUCAGUGGGUAGGGGUAAAAUCCUCUGAUCCAUUGAGGACCACCAGUGGCGAAGGCGGUCUGCCAGAACACGUUCGACGGUGAGGGAUGAAAGCUGGGGGAGCAAACCGGAUUAGAUACCCGGGUAGUCCCAGCUGUAA